UACUCAGAUCUGAUGUAAAGCAGCCCACUUUCCUCUUGUGUACUCUUACCACAGCCUGGUUGGUUGGUUUGUUUCUUUCUUUUCUUUUUUUUGGCCACAGUAUCUCUUUCUGGUUUUCAGUUCAGGUUCACAGAGUGGUUGGUCUGAGGGCUACAUGAGCUCACAGAGGACCCUGCCUUGUAUUCCACCAUUCUUCUGCUCUCCUUGAGAGCAAGGUAAGAGACACAAAUGAUGGAAUUAUAACAGUCCAUUGGGAAGAUCUAUAUUUAUUCUAAUGCUUUUCCCAUGGCUCAGAAUAUUUGGGAACUAUUUUUAAAAAUUAAUUGAGGCCCAGUUAGUAAGGAGCGAAAAGCAAAAACAUCUCAAUUACAGGAGUUCCCUGGUGGCCUAGCGGUUAAGGAUUUCACGUUGUCACGGCUAUGGCAUGGGUUUGAUCCAUGACCCCAGGGACUUCCGUAUGCUGUGGGGAUAGCCAAAAAAAAAAACAAAAACAAAAAAAAAAAAAACAAAAAGAAAAAAUCUUUAGUAUAGAAGAGACAUAUAAAAGAUCCAGUGGAGAUUUCUGCUGCAGGUCAAAGUGAAAUUCCUUGAUCACAGUCUGUCCACAUUUCACCGGCUUGUGAGUUUUGCUCUCCUUGACCCCGACUCAUAGAAAACUGCAUCUGUUUCAGGCAGAACUUCUAGCACCGCAGGGAUUGCUUCCUCCCCUCUCUCUUGUUGUACAAAGAAAGGGACAACUUCAGAGGCUCCCAUUUCCUCCCGUAUCUGUGUUGGUUGGGAUCCUAGGGCAGCAGAUGCCAAGAUGGGGUCAGAGAUGCAAGAGUUGUCGGGCGGGAGAUGCAUGUGAGGGACACGGGGAGGGAGCAGGGUGGCCCGGAGGAGCCCCAGACCAGGUCCGGCUCUGCACCUGUGACGUAGAGGCAGAAGGAAGGGUUAGGCAGGAAAAGCCUCCGACCACGCGGUUCUGAGAUCGUGUGACCACCCCCGUGAGGAGUCACCAAGGUCUUCAGUCAGAGGAAAGGCUCAGAGGUGACAAGGGCAGCUCUAGAAUGGCCGGGGCCAUCAGUGGGUCCUGGCCUCAGGGCAGGUGCAGCGGGGACCCCACUGGGGCGGUUUUGGAGCUGUCGGUUGGAGGUGCCUCUGCCGUGGGCCCUUAGGAAGCAGAGUUGGGUGUCACUUCAUUAGCACACAGCCACCUUUCCGCGCAGUUUGGGGAGCAGCCCCCCCCCCGCCCCCCGGCUCCUUGGGCCUCUCAUCUUGUGGCGACUGGAAGCAGUGGGCUAACUGCCAGCCCCCAGUCCUGCAGCUGGUCUUGGGCCCAGUGGUUCUUCUGCUGUGUGGGUUGAACUGUGUCCCCAGAGAGACAUUUCAGAGCCUUGUCACAGCUCGGCUCUCGCUUAUGGCCAUGCCACACCCCCUUACCACCUAAUUAUCAAUAACUCUGUUGGAGUAUUUGUAGAGCUCACUUUCCUCCAUAAAAGGAUUUUAGGCAACUGCUGCUUCCUGUUGUUUGCCAAAAGAUUUAUUUGUUAAAUGUAUAUUUUAUGGCCACACCCAUGGCAUAUUGAAAUUCCCAGGCUGGGGAUUGAACCCACGCCUCCGCAGUGACCCGAGCCACUGUAGUUACAUUCUUAACCUUCUGUGCCACAGCAGGAACUCCCGUUAUAUUUUUUCAAGACUGACUUAAUAUUUUUGGAGACAGUGGCCGCACUGACAACCUCAGAGUCGAGCACACAUCCGGCCUCAGCACGAGACCUUAGGGCCUGCAGAGAGGGGCAGCCAGACCCCCGGGGCGAGGCCUGGUACAGACCUGGCUCUCUGGGACCCAACUGUGUUCACCUCCCAACCGUAGCUGGGCAGCAGCUCUGCCGCCUUCCAUCCUGAGUCCCAGGAGUCUUGACUGCCGGCAAUUUGACCAACCUAGUGUCACACGGCCCAGAGCAAAAGCUGUGAGAAUAACAGUCAGUUGGAGAUUUGAGCACAAUUGAAACCCACCCAAGCCUCAAACUCUGCAAGUCCUUUAGUCACUCUCUGUAGGCAAAAAUCAGAUCCCAGGCUUUGCCUCGUGAAAGUUAAUGCACAGAAAAGGGACAGAGGGACCCAUUCCAAAUGCAUAUCAAGGGCAGUUUGCCGCAAGCAUUGCAGCAGCCCAAGUUAUACCCAUAAGCCGCAGUUUUAAUUAAGGCAGAAUGUGGCUCCUCUCCAGUCAAGGCCGGAGAACCAGCACGUUCCCAGGACACGCCAUGACAUCUGGCAGGUCACGCGGGGAGAGCUGGGAGUGCCCGGCCUCCUGACACCUGCUGGCUGCACGGUGCAUCCCAGAGGCCUCAUCCCGACGGCGACGUGUGAGCUGAAUGUUUAAGAAUAAGCCUCUGAACCGGGGAGACCCAGAGGCCCUCUGCUCUGAUCACCCCUUUCUGCUGCCUGGGCCUCUCCCCCCAGCACUGUGGACCCUGCCUGCCUCAGUGAGCACCCACCCCACCUGCGCCGUUAUCCUCAGAGCUGUUGGAGGACUUGUGUGCAGCAGCUGUCUGUGAAAGGCGAAGCCCUCCCCGGAUAUGAGUACUUUGUUAUCACUGUUCUUUUUUUCUUUAUACAGCUGCACCCGCGGCGUAUGGAACUUUCCAGGCUAGGAGGUCCGUCGGAGCGGCAGCUGCCGACCUACACCCCAGCCACAGCCACACGGGAUCUGAGCCGCAUCUGUAACCUACACCACAGCUCACGGCAACGCCGGAUCCUUAACCCGCUGAGCAAGGGAUCAAACCCGCCUCCUCACAGAGACUGUGUUGGGUUCCUAACCUGCUGAGCCACCAUGGGAACUCCUGUUAUCACGGGUAUGUCCCCCCAAAUCAUAGAAACCCGUGGAACGAGGGUCCCAUGUUCCUUCAUGGGGACGUCACACUCUGCUUCGCUGUGCUGCUGGAAUGGACGUGUCAGGGGCCCGAGGGCAGCAGUAGAGACGCACCAGCCGAUGGCACAGGAGCAAGCAGGGGGCUCAGCCCAGGCACCUGGUCCCCAUGACCCUCCAAUCCCAGUCUGCAGCAGAUGUCAUAGCCUGUCAAAGGGUGCCAGGCGGGCCUCUCCCUGCCACAGGGACAGCCCUCCACUUCUGGCACACCUGGAAGUUGGCUGGCAGGGCCCCCAGUACCUGCCCUUCGCCUCCUUCCUGCCCUUGGCUAACAGGGGGAUGGGCACCCCUUUCCCAUGAGACCCCUCCUUAUGUGCCCAGGGGCACGGAGGGUCCCACCCAUCUCUGCUUCACCAUGAAUGGGCUUUGGGGCCAGAGAGUGAAAGCACCCAGGCUCUUGGGCUCUUGUUCCCCGCGACCACUGCCCAGCUCAGAGGAAGCUGUGUCCUAAAGGGCCCCUCAAGCGGGCCGUGUUCUGAAACAGACAGAAAUCACAGUUGGGCUGGAUAAAGAUAUGCCUGCAGAAUCGGAGCAGCUGUCUUCAAACAAGCCAACUCAUUCAACCUCAAGAAGUACAGUGUGGAGAACACACAGCUUGGAGUUCCCAUUGUGGCUCAGAGGGUUAAGAACCUGACAUAGGGUCCGUGAGGAUGCAGGUUUGGUCCCCAGCCUCCCUUUGUGGGUUAAGGAUCCAGCCUUGCCACGAGUUACAACAUAAAUCACAGAUGCAGCUUAGAUCUGGUGUGGCCUGUGGCUGUGGCUGUGGCAUAGGCCAGCCGCUGCAGCUCUGAUUUGAUCCCCAGUCUGGAAACCUCCAUAGUGUGCUCCCCCCGGAAAAAUGGCUACUCAUGGGGUCUCUGGUACUGUUCCCAUUGGGUAGUCUAGUCAUAUUUCUCAUCUUUCUUUUAAUGGCUCUGUUAUGUAUGCGCCUUUUAUUGUACAUGAUCUCAUGUGUUUCUUCUAAGAAGAGGAGGUUUAGAUCAUGCAUUUUGUUUAUAACUCUGCAGUGAAGAUCAGAAUCUGACUGCCCAAAAUGGGGAGGGCUGCAGAAGAAAAAAUACAGGCGUAGCUCGCUUUCUUGUAUUUUGGAACCCAACCCGCGGCAUCUCUGGGUCCGCCUGCGCUGGGACAGGCUGGCGUCUGUGCCUUGCGUUUGCCAUCUUCUUGAUUUCUGAUCACAGAACUCUGCCAAGACGAAUGCUCGGGAAGUCGUUAAUUUGUCAGCCAGGAGCACGUGGACAUGUUCUCUGAAGGACAUGGAGAAAAAAGCACAGGCCCCAUCCCGCAAAGAGAAGACAAAACAGGCUGUUUGCAUAGAAUACAGCCAGCCCUUCCUUGGCGCUCCCGUUGUGGCUCAGCAGUUAGCGAACCCGACGAGCAUCCAUGAGGACGCGGGUUUGAUCCCCGGCCUUGUUCAGUGGGUGAAGGAUCUGGCGUGGCCAUGGCUGUGCUGUAGGCCAGCAGCUGUAGCUCCGAUUGGACCCCUAGCCUGGGAACCUCCAUAUGCCAUGGGUGCGGCC
rnacentral:lncRNA from 1 species